GACGAACGCUGGCGGCGCGCUUAACACAUGCAAGUCGAACGGAAAGGCCUGCUUUCCCUUGUGGAUUGCGGGUACUCGAGUGGCGAACGGGUGAGUAACACGUGAGUGAUCUGCCCCCAACUUGGGUAUAAGCCUGGGAAACUGGGUCUAAUUCCCGAUAGGACUGCAGGGUGGUGCCUGUGGUGGAAAACGAUUUUCUAGUGGUUGGGGAUGAGCUCGCGGCCUAUCAGCUUGUUGGUGGGGUAAUGGCCUACCAAGGCGGCGACGGGUAGCCGGCCUGAGAGGGUGGACGGCCACAUUGGGACUGAGAUACGGCCCAGACUCCUACGGGAGGCAGCAGUGGGGAAUAUUGCACAAUGGGCGGAAGCCUGAUGCAGCGACGCCGCGUGGGGGAUGACGGCCUUCGGGUUGUAAACUCCUUUCGACCGCGAGGAAGCCACCUGGUUGGAAGGGGGGUGACGGUAGUGGUAGAAGAAGCACCGGCUAACUACGUG
rnacentral:rRNA from 1 species